AGCGAACGCUGGCGGCAGGCCUAACACAUGCAAGUCGAACGAAGUCUUCGGACUUAGUGGCGGACGGGUGAGUAACACGUGGGAACGUGCCUUUAGGUUCGGAAUAACUCAGGGAAACUUGUGCUAAUACCGAAUGUGCCCUUCGGGGGAAAGAUUUAUCGCCUUUAGAGCGGCCCGCGUCUGAUUAGCUAGUUGGUGAGGUAAAGGCUCACCAAGGCGACGAUCAGUAGCUGGUCUGAGAGGAUGAUCAGCCACAUCGGGACUGAGACACGGCCCAAACUCCUACGGGAGGCAGCAGUGGGGAAUCUUGCGCAAUGGGCGAAAGCCUGACGCAGCCAUGCCGCGUGAACGAUGAAGGUCUUAGGAUUGUAAAAUUCUUUCACCGGGGACGAUAAUGACGGUACCCGGAGAAGAAGCCCCGGCUAACUUCGUGCCAGCAGCCGCGGUAACAC
rnacentral:rRNA from 1 species